rnacentral:lncRNA from 1 species
CUGCAGAGACAUUUAAGUGCAACAACGGUGAAUAUCAGGGAACAUAUUUGCUGAUCUGUCCUCGUGUCAGCGUUGACUAGGAAAUAUAUAUUUCUCGUAGGCCCCCGCAGAUCAACUGACAGGUACACCGAUGGCAAACAGCGAGAGGCCUCCAGAAUUCUACAUAAAUGAAAAAUGGGACAAAUGCAUUGAUUUAACAUUGCGCAGAGUUGUGUACGGCACUCUUGGCGGUGGAGCAGCAGCUUUGAUACUCUUCAGUAAGUCACUUUCUAGAUCCGAUGCCCCAAAAAAGAAGGUGUUCCUAGCUGCUGGGAGAUAAUUGGCACGUAUCUCUUUCAAAAAAAUCCUUCGUUGUUGGUGGCUACAUCCAUAUCGGAGGAGAUGACAGAUCUCCCAUCCUUGCAGGAGGAGGUGGUGCAAGGGCUGCCUGUGCUGGCUUUGGUGCUGGAUUUGGAGCUGGGGCAGCAUACUCUGAAUGCCAAAGAGAGGUGAGCACAAAUGAAGUCCACCCAGCCAGAUUCAUGAGCUGCAGAAAGCCAGCUGCUUAAUGCAGAUUGGUACUAAACUCUGAUGUGUACUUGUGCAGCUGCAAGAUGUCCUUGGCGUGAAGAGUCAAUGAGCACUGGUGGGCAUCGAUAC